rnacentral:rRNA from 1 species
AAUUUACUCAACAAAAUUGUCUGACAGGGAACUACUAGCAACAGUUUAAACCUCAAAGGACUUGGCGGUGCUUUAUAUCCCUCUAGAGGAGCCUGUUCUGUAACUCGAUAAACCCCGAUAAACCUCACCACUCCUAGCUAAGGCAGUCUAUAUACCGCCAUCUUCAGCAAACCCUCAAAAGGAGGAAAAGUGAGCACACUAUUAUUACAUAAAAAAGUUAGGUCAAGGUGUAACCCAUGGAGUGGGAAGUAAUGGGCUACAUUUUCUUAUCCAAGAACAUAUUCACGAAAGCUUUCAUGAAAACUGAAAACUAAAGGUGGAUUUAGUAGUAAAUUAAGAACAGAGAGCUUAAUUGAAUAGGGCCAUGAAGCACGCACACACCGCCCGUCACCCUCCUCAAGCAGCAUCUUCAAAUAUUACAUAAUACAAAAUCAACCUAAAGCAAGAGGAGACAAGUCGUCAACAAGGUAAGCGUACUGGAAAGUGUGCUUGGAUUAAA